CUAAUACAUGCAAGUCGAACGAACUCUGGUAUUGAUUGGUGCUUGCAUCAUGAUUUACAUUUGAGUGAGUGGCGAACUGGUGAGUAACACGUGGGAAACCUGCCCAGAAGCGGGGGAUAACACCUGGAAACAGAUGCUAAUACCGCAUAACAACUUGGACCGCAUGGUCCGAGUUUGAAAGAUGGCUUCGGCUAUCACUUUUGGAUGGUCCCGCGGCGUAUUAGCUAGAUGGUGGGGUAACGGCUCACCAUGGCAAUGAUACGUAGCCGACCUGAGAGGGUAAUCGGCCACAUUGGGACUGAGACACGGCCCAAACUCCUACGGGAGGCAGCAGUAGGGAAUCUUCCACAAUGGACGAAAGUCUGAUGGAGCAACGCCGCGUGAGUGAAGAAGGGUUUCGGCUCGUAAAACUCUGUUGUUAAAGAAGAACAUAUCUGAGAGUAACUGUUCAGGUAUUGACGGUAUUUAACCAGAAAGCCACGGCUAACUACGUGCCAGCAGCCGCGGUAAUACGUAGGUGGCAAGCGUUGUCCGGAUUUAUUGGGCGUAAAGCGAGCGCAGGCGGUUUUUUAAGUCUGAUGUGAAAGCCUUCGGCUCAACCGAAGAAGUGCAUCGGAAACUGGGAAACUUGAGUGCAGAAGAGGACAGUGGAACUCCAUGUGUAGCGGUGAAAUGCGUAGAUAUAUGGAAGAACACCAGUGGCGAAGGCGGCUGUCUGGUCUGUAACUGACGCUGAGGCUCGAAAGUAU
rnacentral:rRNA from 1 species